AGGAAGUAAAAGUCGUAACAAGGUCUCCGUUGGUGAACCAGCGGAGGGAUCAUUACUGAGUUACCGCUCAUCAACCCUUUGUGAACAUACCUAACUGUUGCUUCGGCGGGUAGGCGUCCCCUAAAAAGGACGUCUCCCGGCCCUCUCCCGUCCGCGGGUGGGGCGCCCGCCGGAGGAUAACCAAACUCUGAUUUAACGACGUUUCUUCUGAGUGACACAAGCAAAUAAUCAAAACUUUUAACAACGGAUCUCUUGGUUCUGGCAUCGAUGAAGAACGCAGCGAAAUGCGAUAAGUAAUGUGAAUUGCAGAAUUCAGUGAAUCAUCGAAUCUUUGAACGCACAUUGCGCCCGCCAGCAUUCUGGCGGGCAUGCCUGUUCGAGCGUCAUUUCAACCCUCAAGCUCUGCUUGGUGUUGGGGCUCUACGGUUGACGUAGGCCCUUAAAGGUAGUGGCGGACCCUCUCGGAGCCUCCCUUUUGCGUAGUAACAUUUCGUCUCGGCAUUGGGAUUCGGAGGGACUCUAGCCGUAAACCCCCAAUUUACUAAGGUUGACCUCGGAUCAGGUAGGAAUACCCGCUGAACUUAAGCAUAUCAAUAAGCGGAAAGGAA
rnacentral:rRNA from 1 species